rnacentral:rRNA from 1 species
UUCGCAAUGCCCGAAAGGGUGACGAAGCGACGCCGCGUGGGUGAGGAAGGCCUUCGGGUUGUAAAGCCCUGUCAGGAGUUAAGAAAUGUAAGUGCGCUAAUAUCGCAUUUACUUGACGAAGGCUCCAAAGGAAGCCACGGCUAACUCUGUGCCAGCAGCCGCGGUAAUACAGAGGUGGCAAGCGUUGUUCGGAAUUAUUGGGCGUAAAGAGCACGUAGGUGGGUUUGUAAGUCAGAUGUGAAAGCCUUCUGUUCAACGGAAGAAUUGCAUCUGAAACUGCAAAUCUUGAGUAUAGGAGGGGAGAAUGGAACUUCUGGUGGAGCGGUGAAAUGCGUAGAUAUCAGAAGGAACGCCGGCGGCGAAAGCGACUCUCUGGCCCGAAACUGACGCUGAGUGUGCGAAAGCUAGGGGAGCAAACGGGAUUAGAUACCCCGGUAGUCCUAGCCGUAAACGAUGGGCACUAAGUAGAGGGGUUUU